UACGAAGGGGGCUAGCGUUGCUCGGAAUUACUGGGCGUAAAGGGCGCGUAGGCGGACAGUUUAGUCAGAGGUGAAAGCCCAGGGCUCAACCUUGGAAUAGCCUUUGAUACUGACUGUCUUGAGUUCGGGAGAGGUGAGUGGAAUGCCGAGUGUAGAGGUGAAAUUCGUAGAUAUUCGGCGGAACACCAGUGGCGAAGGCGACCCACUGGCCCGAUACUGACGCUGAGGCGCGAAAGCGUGGGGAGCAAACGGG
rnacentral:rRNA from 1 species